rfam:Salmo salar isolate Sally breed double haploid chromosome ssa10, whole genome shotgun sequence.
UGCAUUCACUACUGUAAGUCGCUCUAGAUAAGAGCUUCUGCUAAAUGACUAAAA